GUCUCUUUGGCAAAAUCGGUUAGCGCGUUCGGCUGUUAACUGAAAGGUUGGUGGUUCAAGCCCACCCAGGUACG
rfam:Danio rerio chromosome 4, GRCz11 reference primary assembly.